UUCAAAAGCCACAAAGUGAUUUCCCAGAGCCUGGGGCAGUUGCAGGAGGAUUAGAAGACACUCAUGUAUUGGCACGCAGUGUGUGAACUUCAAAGGAAAAGUCUUUGAGUAAGGAAAGAGGAGAGAGAGUUUUCCAAGAUAAAACAGUGCACUUGGAGCAGGCCCUGGGAGGCUGCAGUCCAGAUGUGGCUUUCUGACGUGUUGCAUGGUGACAUGACAUCCUGCUGUGACAGAGAGAAGACGAGCCUCAAAAGAGAUGUGGAAUUAUCCAACUCAACAUUUGACGCCGCUUUAGUUUUCACAAGGACUUCAGGCUGAAUGGCAAACUGUCCCACAUCAGGGACAUGAAGUCCAUCAAGGAAGUUCCAGCAAGGAGAUGCUGAUCCUAAAUGCCUGUGCACCCCUGUGGAGACCAGCAGCAAGCUGACUGGGGUGCUGGAAAGCUGGGGGACAUCUCCACCUUUGAAAUGCAUCACUUCUAUGUUGGAGACCAGCUCUAGAGAGCAUACCCUGUGAUUCGGCAGGGCACUGGAUGUGCAUUACACAUGGUCUCCUGAAAUAUGUGACAGCCAGGAAUUGGGAAGGCCAUGCAGGAAAAGCUAGGCAGACUUAGAGUGCUAUAAUUCUGUGCCAAUGCUGAGGUUGAGUUCCCUGAAAUGUACAUAAAGGGAGGCUGUGCUUCCUAGAA